CCAAGUCUACUAUUGCAAUUGUGUUUCAGUUGUCUAUCAAUGACAUCUUAAUUGUUACUUUUAGCAAUUUUGGUAGUCUACUAAUUCAAUGGCGUCACAAUUGCUUUCCGAUGGCGUGCCACUGACACUUCAAUGACGCAAUUGUAAAUAGUUGGUAGUCCCGUACUUAAUGACAAGCCAAUGAUCGAAUGUAUGCGUAGUCUGCUAAUAGUUUGACAGCUGCAAUGAUCAUUGAAUCGCCAGUGAACUAUCAUUGAUGGGCCAUUGUGCUGUCAUUGCUUUUAAGCCAGUGUUUGUUUGGUUUUACGGGUUUAACAUCAUGUUUAGCAAUAGUUUGGGUAUUUAGUUGUUAUCUUUCUACGUUGUAAGGUGAACACCUAGGCAUAAUGUCUAGAAUAAGAUGGAAUAUUUUGGAAUUGGCCAACGCGGUUGAUACUCAGGAGUUGAUAUUGAUACUCGCUUGCUAAGGAGCAAUAUAGACCCCUUUCAGGAUAUAUCCUUUGUAAAAAUGUUUCGCCUUGGGAAGGAAACUGUAAAGGAGCUAGUGGAGCAGCUCACUCCACUUAUUCCGAGACCACAACGGAAUGAUGGAAUAUUUGCGGAGACGAAGAUUCUGAUAGCCUUAGCAUUUUAUACACCAUCUCAUACCAGACAUUAGUUGGGCAGAGUGCCCUCCACAGAAGACUGUGUCAAGAGCUGUGAGGCAAGUUACAGAGACACUCAAUGCCAAAUUUAACAAAUAUGUUAAAUGGCCCAUCCAGCAUGACCGGAAUGCCAUGAAAGCUAAAUGUUUGCUCCGAGCACAUGCUUUGCAUUACAGUCCAAUCACCACAGGCAAGAUUGUGAAUGCAUGUUAUAUUUUGCACAGUAUUGCAAACAAGACCAACGCCCGUGCCUCCACUCAUGCCUGUGGAAGCUCUUCAUCUGCAACAGGAUGAACACAAUUCAAGGGCCGAGAGUUGGAAAGUGCUAUUGAUGGACAGCAUUCACAAAGCCAUCGAGUUAACCAAGGUCUGCUUGAAGGUAGAGUGCUGCAGCAGGCUCUCAUCAACAGGCUGUGGAGAAAUGCAUGAAAUUAAUAAUAAAUAAUUGAAAUAAAUGAUUUUGAAUUUU